rnacentral:rRNA from 1 species
GCUCAGUAACACGUGGCUUAUCUGCCCUAAGGUGAAGAAUACUCCCGGGAAACUGGGGCUAUUACUCCAUAGUGGAUGCUUCCUGGAAUGGUGCAUCCUCAAAAGAUCCGCCGCCUUAGGAUGGGACUGCGUCCAAUUAGGUUGUUGGGGGGGUAACGGCCCACCAAGCCAUUGAUCGGUACGGGUUGUGGAAGCAAGAUCCCGGAGAUGGAUUCUGAGACAUGAAUCCAGGCCCUACGGGGCGCAGCAGGCGCAAAAACUUUGCAAUGCGGAAAACCGUGACAGGGGAACUCCGAGUGCCCGUUAAAUCGGGCUGUCCACCAUUUUAAAUAACUGGUGAAAAAAGGGCCGGGCAAGACCGGUGCCAGCCGCCGCGGUAAUACCGGCGGCUCGGGUGGUGGCCACUAUUACUGGGCUUAAAGCGUUCGUAGUUGGUUUGUUAAUUCUCUGGGGAAAUCUUCCGGCUUAACCGGAAGGCGUCUCAGGAAUACUGGCAAACUAGGGACCGGAAGAGGUGAGGGGUACUCCAGGGGUAGGAGUGAAAUCCUGUAAUCCUUGGGGGACCACCUGUGGCGAAGGCGCCUCACCAGAACGGCUCCAACAGUGAGGAACGAAGGCUGGGGAAGCAAACCGAAUUAAAUACCCGGGUAGUCCCAGCUGUAAACGAUGCGCGUUAGGUGUAUCGGUGACCACAAGUCACCGAGGUGCCAAAAAGAAAUC